AAUUUGCACUUCUUCAGCAUGAGAAAAGUCACACGGAGUGAAUGGAAACCAUAAAUAAAGAGCAGCUGAAAUCAAAAAGAGAUGCAUUUCCAGAACUGUAUCAGCCAACAGGACUGUGCCAAAACCAACAGAGUCUGCAGUCUGGCUUGAGGAGCAGAGUGUGUGGCAUCCAAAAUCAAUUUGUAAGCCUCAGCUGUCUAUGCAGAGACUGCCUUUCCAUGUGUUGCUAUGCAAGAACAUGGCUGGUGAACUUACACCCAAAACUUGCUCUUCUUUUUUCCCCAGCCAGAUGACACCGACCUGGCCUGACAGUGGGUAUGUAGCAGACCUCCGUGCGUGCAUGCUGUUACAGGACUGCGAUGGACCACCCAUGGAGAGCAACUUGAAGGAGAAAAGCUGCACCCUUGAUAGUGCGCUUCCUAGCAAAAUGACUUAGAUAUUGUAUUGUGGCACUUGACUUUUUAGUGCUGCUGCUAUUAAACAAAGAUCACCCCCCUACACAGAUGGUAAUUUCAACUGUGAAUUGUGGCUGUGUGGUUCAUGCAGCCCACUAUAAAAGCAGUGUCGAUUUAGGUUGCAGUGCUCUAAGCCUCCUAAUACCUGGGAGAGCAGAAACCAGAUCAUGGUGGAGAAUUUCUAUGUCUUUUCUGACUCCUGCUUGUUAAAGAGAGGACAGUGGGGCAAUAUGUGAUCGAGGUCCUGAUGAUGCUAAACAAAAAGUAGGACUCCAUCACACAAUGUAUUGACUGAUGGUGACUUGGGUUUGAGAACAAGCAUGAAGCUGAGGAUGUGUGCAGCAUGCUUUGGGGCUUGGCAGGAAGACACUUGUGCAUGUUUGAAGGUGCAAAGCUGGCUUGAAGACUAUCAAAAAGCUCUGGGUGAGGGGAAUCAGUGAAUCCCCUUGCUACUGUUGUGUUCCUUAAUGAAGAGACUUCUGGAAUGAACUGUCACCAGAACCAUGCCUGGGUGUUGUCUUGGAGUGAGCUAAUUGGAGUGGUCCUAAGCAGGAAAGAAGAUCCUCCCUUGAACCAUGCGCUAGGAUGGAGGAGCAGAGGUCCAGGACUAAAACUCUCUGUCUAUCUCUCUUUUGCAUUCAACAAUGUAGAGGGAUCCUCACUUGCCAGCCAACCCUGAGAAGAUUGCUGGUGGGCUUGCAAAAUGCCAGGCCUGAGACCAGACCAGACCAGAGAGAGGCAUUCCAGUCCAGGAAUCAAGUAAUGGUCUUUUUAAGACAGAAAAAAAUGAAAUGAAUAUAGAAGCCUUUGGGAGACAAUGUAGUGAUACAAAUGUAGCCUCUGAACUAAGCCCAGGAAUGUUUCCAGUUUUUAGGUUCAGGUAUGUCCUAGUUACGUCCCAACUCUGUCCUUGGGAGACAUAGAUAUAUAUGAGACUCUGUUCUUCCUGUGCCCUGGUUUCUACAGAGAGGAAAAAUCCAUCAGGGGUCUGUGGAAGGGUUGAACUGAUUUGUUGAUAUUAACCCAAAAUGUUUUCACUACCAUAGAGCAGAAAAAGGGAAGAAGGGGUGGCUAGUCAUACUACAUGUUAAAACCUGCUUAGUGUCUUUUACAGAGCAAUGACAAUUAUUUUUGGAAAAUCUAAAAAUAUUUUACUAGGUUUUCAGCUGCCCAAGAUUUGGCAUCUCUCAGAUAAGGUUUGUCUUCCCCGAAGAGUGUGCUCUCAAAUUGAAGACAUCACAAGGCAAAGGAACAAGAGUUGAAGAUUUAGGUAUAAAGAAGGGAUCAAUUAUUUUCUGCAGUAUUUUAAAAUGCAUUCAAGAUUUGAUAUUAAACCAAUCAUGUUUUUCUAAUCUGUUACAGCAAUGAUAGAUUCCAAGAAGUUUUUUAGAUAAUUAAGUUUUAAUUUCCUUAGGACUCACGUCUGCCUGUUUUCUUUGGAUUUUUGUUGUUGUUUUUUUAAUAAACAUUGUUUCAAAAUCUAAA